rnacentral:rRNA from 1 species
GUGGGGAAUUUUGGACAAUGGGCGCAAGCCUGAUCCAGCAAUGCCGCGUGCAGGAAGAAGGCCUUCGGGUUGUAAACUGCUUUUGUACGGAACGAAACGGUCCGGGUUAAUACCCUGGGCUAAUGACGGUACCGUAAGAAUAAGCACCGGCUAACUACGUGCCAGCAGCCGCGGUAAUACGUAGGGUGCAAGCGUUAAUCGGAAUUACUGGGCGUAAAGCGUGCGCAGGCGGUUUUGUAAGACAGGCGUGAAAUCCCCGGGCUCAACCUGGGAAUUGCGCUGGUGGCUGCAAGGCUGGAGUGCGGCAGAGGGGGAUGGAAUUCCGCGUGUAGCAGUGAAAUGCGUAGAUAUGCGGAGGAACACCGAUGGCGAAGGCAAUCCCCUGGGCCUGCACUGACGCUCAUGCACGAAAGCGUGGGGAGCAAACAGGAUUAGAAACCCCAGUAGUCC